GUGGGGAAUAUUGGACAAUGGGCGCAAGCCUGAUCCAGCAACGCCGCGUGAGGGAUGACGGCCUUCGGGUUGUAAACCUCUUUCAGCAGGGACGAAGCGAAAGUGACGGUACCUGCAGAAGAAGGACCGGCCAACUACGUGCCAGCAGCCGCGGUAAUACGUAGGGUCCGAGCGUUGUCCGGAAUUAUUGGGCGUAAAGGGCUCGUAGGCGGUCUGUCGCGUCGGGAGUGAAAACUCAGGGCUCAACCCUGAGCGUGCUUCCGAUACGGGCAGACUAGAGGUAUGCAGGGGAGAACGGAAUUCCUGGUGUAGCGGUGGAAUGCGCAGAUAUCAGGAGGAACACCGGUGGCGAAGGCGGUUCUCUGGGCAUUACCUGACGCUGAGGAGCGAAAGCAUGGGGAGCGAACAGGAUUAGAUACCCCUGUAGUCC
rnacentral:rRNA from 1 species